GGAGUGUGUUUUUAAAGCUUAUGAACUCUGAUUUGCACAUAGAAGUGGCAAUAACAAAACGAAAACAAAGGAUAUCGGAGCAACAGUGACGCGACAGUGGCUAACCAGGUUAUCUGAAGUAGCUACACUUAUCUCGUGUGUUUUAUAUUUGUAUAUAAGUAUGUAUAUAUGGGAUUCAUGGAAUAUUCGCACUUAGGAAAAACUGUGUUGGGUUUGGAAUUUUGAAGAUUUAACAUUUAUUCGAAGUAAGUAGGUACAGAUUUAUUGUAGCGAAGCAAGUCCGAGGUUGGCUACUAUUCUCUCUUCUAAUGUCAAAGAAAUAUGAAUAAAACACGUCUGUACAAGCUUGGCUAACUUUUGAAUGGCUAAGUUAUGUA